AUGGAGUGCGAGGCAAUGGCAGCCGUGGCGCAGCAUCACCGGGAGGACGGCCUUGAGCUUCAGGGGCUUGAGGCGCAUCUAAAGAUUGCUUCUAAGAUGAAUGGGUUUAACCUAGGUACUUGGCCAGAUAUUGAUGUAACUAGAUGGACUAUAAAAGAGUAUAUUCAAGAUCGAAUUCAAUCUGAUGGAUCAUCUUGCGGCUUGUUCAUGCUACAAUUCAUUGAAUACUGGACAGGACACAAACUGUCACAUCCUGUUACACAGGAAGAUGUCAAACCCUUCAGGCAAAAAGUAGCAAUCAUUCUCCAUGAAUCAGAUCUGAACGAUAUAAAAGGAACUCCUGAGUACCAUAAUCCAGCAGACGAUAUAAUAGAUACUGACGGUGUUGAAAUAUUGGACCCGCCACCUGCCAUGGUUGUUCUGAGAAUGCCACUUAAUAAAAAUGAGCUACUUUGCAAACUUCGAGGUCAUAUCAUGUCCAUUCAUAAUGCAGAUUCCCGAGAGAAAGAAUGGAUCCGUAGCUCCAAGCCCUACCCACUAAGUAUAAGUCUUAGACAACUACAAGACUUACUAAAGAAUACACGGGCUAUUGAUGUCGACAGUUUUAACAUGGCUGUUCAAGUAAAUGCUACAGACGACAUUCAAUGGGCUAAAGACACUCCAUAUCACUAUAUGGAUCUCAGAUUUUCUAUUUUGUUGCCGUUUUGUACAACCGGUCGCUUCAUCCUCUUCCUGUUCGACCUAUUGGAUAGAACAAUCACUAUACUCGACCCUCUUCCCCUAUCGGAUGCAUGGAAAAAGAAUCCUUCACAGAAGGACAUAUUUAAGAUUCAAUGUAUUUCAUUCCAUCUAAACAUAGCAUUACAAGAUGCAAUUCCUGGCUGGAAUGAUGAUGUUUUUAGAUGGCGUCGCAUCAUACCAAUUGGAGUUCCAAAAAACCCAAACAGCAAUAUGUCUGGGUUUUUAGUUUUAAAGAUUAUGCGCACGUGGCAUGAUCAUGAACAUGGAUUACCAGUUGUCCCGGACGAUUAUGACCUACGGAAUCAGGUGUUGGUACACUUGCUGUCGUACAAGGACAAUGAAUGCGUAGAAAAUAUUCCACAAGUCGUGCGUGAUUUGGUGAAGAGAAUUGGGAUAAACUUUUUUUAG
rnacentral:rRNA from 1 species